CCUAUGGGAGGCAGCAGUAGGGAAUCUUCCACAAUGGACGCAAGUCUGAUGGAGCAACGCCGCGUGAGUGAAGAAGGUUUUCGGAUCGUAAAGCUCUGUUGUUGGUGAAGAAGGAUAGAGGUAGUAACUGGCCUUUAUUUGACGGUAAUCAACCAGAAAGUCACGGCUAACUACGUGCCAGCAGCCGCGGUAAUACGUAGGUGGCAAGCGUUGUCCGGAUUUAUUGGGCGUAAAGCGAGCGCAGGCGGAAGAAUAAGUCUGAUGUGAAAGCCCUCGGCUUAACCGAGGAACUGCAUCGGAAACUGUUUUUCUUGAGUGCAGAAGAGGAGAGUGGAACUCCAUGUGUAGCGGUGGAAUGCGUAGAUAUAUGGAAGAACACCAGUGGCGAAGGCGGCUCUCUGGUCUGCAACUGACGCUGAGGCUCGAAAGCAUGGGUAGCGAACAGGAUUAGAUACCCGGGUAGUCC
rnacentral:rRNA from 1 species